UCGUCUGUGUGAGGGUCGGCUAGUGUCAAAACAAUCGCGUCGCUUGCUCUUGCGACGCGCUCUGGACCUUCGCGGCCGUAAAAUCCGGCGCUCACCGAAUCGCUCGCUCGGCGGUUUGCGUGUUGCGCCCGGUGGCCCCGUGGUCUUAAGCACAAGCCGCGCCGUUGUCCGUGUUCGUCUCGGGACGUCCGCGACGCCGCCUUGCUCUCGGCGGCGGCCAAAUUUCCUCUCCGUCACCGCUAUGCGGGACCCGGCUCGCUCUCGCUAACGGGCCCGCUUAUAACCAGCUUCAGGGUGACGGGCGGAGGAGAGAAGCUUACGCUGACGCUCGAUCGACGAGUCGGCGCCCGUACGAAAAAAAUUGGAAAAAAAAUAACCGUGCGUUGCGCGUUAUUUUUUUUUUUCCUUUCUUUCCGACCUCAGAUCGGACGAGAUUACCCCCUGAAUUUAAGCAUAGAAA
rnacentral:misc_RNA from 1 species